UACGUAGGGGACGAGCGUUGUCCGAAGUUACUGGGCGUAAAGAGCGCGUAGGCGGGCUUCUAAGUGAGAGGUGAAAGGUUCGGGCUCAACCCGGAGAGUGCCUUUCAUACUGGGAGCCUUGAGUGCGGGAGAGGCAAGUGGAAUGGUCGGUGUAGCGGUGAAAUGCGUAGAUAUCGAUCGGAACACCCGUGGCGAAGGCGGCUUGCUGGCUCGCAACUGACGCUGAGGCGCGACAGCAUGGGGAGCAAACGGG
rnacentral:rRNA from 1 species